rnacentral:rRNA from 14 species
UAAUCGGUUCCUGGAAAUAGCUCCAUCAUCAGAUCGUACCCUAAACCAACACAGGUGGACAGGUAGAGAAUACCAAGGCGCUUGAGAGAACUCGGGUGAAGGAACUAGGCAAAAUCGUACCGUAACUUCGGGAGAAGGUACGCUCCUAUCUGUGAUGAGACUUGCUCUCUAAGCGGUUCGGGGUCGAAGAUACUAGGUGGCUGCGACUGUUUAUUAAAAACACAGCACUCUGCAAACACGAAAGUGGACGUAUAGGGUGUGACGCCUGCCCGGUGCCGGAAGGUUAAUGGAUGGGGUUAUCUUCGGAGAAGCUCUUGAUCGAAGCCCCGGUAAACGGCGGCCGUAACAAUAACGGUCCUAAGG